rnacentral:rRNA from 1 species
UACAGAGGGUGCGAGCGUUAAUCGGAAUUACUGGGCGUAAAGCGCACGUAGGUGGCGACGUAAGUCGGGUGUGAAAGCCCCGGGCUCAACCUGGGAAUUGCAUUCGAGACUGCGUUGCUGGAGUACGGAAGAGGAAAGCGGAAUUCCACGUGUAGCGGUGAAAUGCGUAGAGAUGUGGAGGAACACCAGUGGCGAAGGCGGCUUUCUGGUCUGUAACUGACGCUGAGGCGCGAAAGCGUGGGGAGCAAACAGG